rnacentral:rRNA from 1 species
UACCUAACAGCUAGCCCACCCAAACAAUUUCAACAAACCCCUGUUAAUAACCCCUAAGUACCCCAGUAUUUAUUUUAAACAAACCAUUUUUCCCCCCUAGUAUAGGCGAUAGAAAAGGGCCUACGGCGCAAUAGAGAAAGUACCGCAAGGGAACGCUGAAAGAGAAGUGAAACAACCCAGUAAAGCCUAAAAAAGCAGAGAUCUAAACUCGUACCUUUUGCAUCAUGAUUUAGCAAGUGUAACCCAAGCAAAGCGUACUUUAGUUUGACGUCCCGAAACUAGGUGAGCUACUCCAAGACAGCCUAUCAAUAGGGCGUACCCGUCUCUGUGGCAAAAGAGUGGGGAGAGCUUUGAGUAGAGGUGACAUACCUACCGAACCUAGUUAUAGCUGGUUGUCCAAGAAAUGAAUAGAAGUUCAGCCUUUCAGCUUCUCUUUUCACCUUAGCCUGACCCCUAUUGAUGUAUUAAAGAAACCGAAAGAGUUAGUCAAAGGGGGUACAGCUCCUUUGAAUCAAGACACAACUUUCCCAGGAGGGUAAAGAUCAUAAUAAUUAAAGCUAAAUGUUCUGGUGGGCCUAAAAGCAGCCAUCCCCUUAGAAAGCGUUAAAGCUCAGACAUGUAACCAUACUUCUUAUCCUGAUCACCCAAUCUUAUCCCCCUAACCGUACUGGACCAUCCCAUGCCAACAUGGGAGUGACUAUGCUGAAAUGAGUAAUAAGAGAGCUAUCGGCUCUCUCCCUGCACACAUGUACAUCGGAACGGACAACCCACCGAACCUUAACGGCCCCAAAUAAAGAGGGCAGUGGAUGUUAGACCAAAAAACUAGAAAACUAUCCAAAAACCAACCGUUAAACCCACACAGGUGUGCCCCCAGGGAAAGACUAAA